UUGGGUUAAAAGAUUAAGAGCCCUAAUCAGGAUAGUUUCUUAACUACCACGAUCUAAAUUCUUAUCAUCUUCUUAGAUUUUCUCACGGAUUAAUAUUUUACUCUCUCUCAUCCCAUUCAUAUUUCUUUUUGUAUUUACUCAUGAGCAUGUUUAAUUUUUGUUAUCUAUUUAUAUACUUUCUUAUUGCUAGUUAUUUACUGAUCUCU
rnacentral:lncRNA from 1 species